CCCUUUUCUCUCUUUGACCGGCUCCUCUCUUCUCAUUUCUUUCUUUUUCUUCUUUUUUAUUUCCUGUCUCACACUUCUCUUCACUCCCUCAAACUCUCUAGCCGAUACCUCCACACCCACCAUUUCCACCAUCAUUUUUCCGGCAAUGUCACCGGAAAAUCCUUAGGAACCUCUAAGCAUUUUCAUCUUUUAUUUAAGGUUCUAGCUAAUCUCCUUGGAGCUUGGAGAAUUAGGAUUUUGCAAUUACGAGGUUAGUGCUCUUUUACUUUGGAUAACGUGUUCUUCCCUGCUGCCCAUGGGGGGAAGAGAUUCUUUGAUUGUGUGUGGGUAAGGCUACUGCCCAUGGGGCCAAGGGAUUACAUGCAAGAGAGGCCCUAUUUGACGCGCUCUCUCUGCUGCCCAUGGGAGGAAGAGAAAAACCUUGAGGGUAUGGGUGAGGCUGUUGUCCAUGGGUUCAAGAGUCUGCAUACCAGAAAGGACAAUAUCAUGCCAGUUGUGAAUGGGUGGAUUCCUGACUGGUCUAUGUGGUAGUGUGGUAUAUUUGUGAUAAAUUACCGUAUGUUAGAUUUUAUGAUUUUGGAAAUUAUAUUGUUGGUGCUCACAGAUUAUAAUAUAUAAUUUCAAGGUAUUUACUUUGAGAAACUUUAUGUUUCAUUAUUUAAUCAUUCUUGUCAUAUUAUUAUUAUUAAAGAUGAAACUUGCAUUUCCCCCACCCCCAUUAAUUAUGCUACUUACUGGGCGUUAGCUCAUCCCACCCUAUAACAGUUUUUCAGAUUUAUUAGCUAUACCUUGGAUAUGGAGCUUACUUCCUUGGUGAUGAUUAGAGUGCUAUGUUAAAUUUGGAGACUCUUGCUGUAAAUGGUUGGUGACUUGAUUUUGCUAUGUUCAUCGAGACCUUAAUUAAUUCUAUUGGAGGUUGGUUACUUGAGAUUUGUUAACCUUAGGCGUGCUAGGCAUAGACUCGUUAUUAAGAUUCCUUAUUCUUGAUAAGAUUGUGACUUUGUGUAAUCCAAUAGUUUUGUAAUAUAUAUUCAUGUAUUAUGUGGAGGCACAUGAUUUUUAGUUA